rnacentral:rRNA from 1 species
AAACUUAAAGGAAUUGACGGGGCCCGCACAGCGGUGGAGCAUGUGGUUUAAUUCGAAGCAACGCGCAGAACCUUACCAGCUCUUGACAUUCGGGGUAUGGGCAGUGGAGACAUUGUCCUUCAGUUCGGCUGGCCCUAGACAGGUGCUGCAUGGCCGUCGUCAGCUCGUGCCGUGAGGUGUUGGGUUAAGUCCCGCAACGAGCGCAACCCCGCCGUUAGUUGCCAGCGGUUCGGCCGGGCACUCUAACGGGACUGCCCGCGAAAGCGGGAGGAAGGAGGGGACGACGUCUGGUCAGCAUGGCCCUUACGGCCUGGGCGACACACGUGCUACAAUGCCCACUACAAAGCGAUGCCACCCGGCAACGGGGAGCUAAUCGCAAAAAGGUGGGCCCAGUUCGGAUUGGGGUCUGCAACCCGACCCCAUGAAGCCGGAAUCGCUAAUAAUCGCGGAUCAGCCAUGCCGCGGUGAAUACGUCCCCGGGCCUU